UAAGUCCAAUCUCUGAUCAAAUCAGGGACCAAACCAUCUCGACGAUUAGGUCAACUCUUAACCUAAUCGGGUCAAACCCAACUGAAUUCAAUUCAAUUGGACUUGAUCCAAAAAUAAUUACUCAAUCAAAUUAAGUUAAUUAGCAAUCAAAUCACUAAUUAAAUCUCUCAUAAAUAUUGAGUCCAAAUCUGAUGGGCAAUCAGGCAUCAGAAUUCAUCGAUAUGUAACCC
rnacentral:lncRNA from 1 species